rnacentral:piRNA from 1 species
CAGCGACUUUCUUCAGCAGAAACGCUGC